CGCCAGAUAGUUCAGUUGGUAGAGCACCUGACUAGAGAUUCAGGGGGCCCGGGUUCGAAUCCCGGUCUGGUCC
rnacentral:tRNA from 1 species